AUAUAACGUCCCAGAACACUCCAGCUCUCAUGUUAGUCUGCUCCAAGCAUUUCCACAAAGGAAAACCAGCCUACAAAAUGCAGGAAUGCGAUGCAGACUGGGCACCUCUAUCAGCCUGGGUCAGACCGAGUUUAAAGCUGCUACCACAGCCAGAUUUGAUCGGUUAAGAGAGAGAACGAUAUCAAAAGAGCCACAAAACGUCCCGCAUAUAUGUGCCCAAGGGUUGUAUUGAAGCAAUCAAGUGAUGAAUAACUGUUUUCCAGUAUGUUGUUUUGAUAUGGUUUUUUUUUUUUUUUCGUUGCAUUGUUGAUUUGUUUUUUACCGAAGCAGCUAAUAAAGAAUGGUGGAUUUUUACAAUUUUGCCUCCUUCUUGUAAGAUUCUAUAAUAGAAUGAAACAAUAAUGCCAGUUAUAAAUAAAGACAACAAAUUGAAUGAAUUACGAAACACUCAUGUUAUUUCUAUUAGAUCUGAAAAUGUUGUGUAAUACCACAACCUGAAACGACAAAUAGAUGCGGACAGGAGAUAAAGGAAAAGAAUGUAACAACAGCUGUGAAAUGGAAUAGUCCAAAUCACCAAAGUAAACUGGACCUGGGCUUGUUGCAGGGAUCUGAAGUUAAUAAACAUCUUGUGAGUGUCUGUACUCACACUUAGGACCAUAUAAUAAUAAAUAUGUGCGUGAUGAAA